rnacentral:rRNA from 1 species
UACGUAGGGUGCGAGCGUUGUCCGGAAUUAUUGGGCGUAAAGAGCUCGUAGGCGGUUUGUUGCGUCGACCGUGAAAACCUGCCGCUUAACGGUGGGCUUGCGAUCGAUACGGGCAGACUUGAGUUCGGCAGGGGAGACUGGAAUUCCUGGUGUAGCGGUGAAAUGCGCAGAUAUCAGGAGGAACACCGGUGGCGAAGGCGGGACUCUGGGCCGAUACUGACGCUGAGGAGCGAAAGCGUGGGGAGCGAACAGG